rnacentral:rRNA from 1 species
AUUGAACGCUGGCGGCAGGCCUAACACAUGCAAGUCGAACGAGUGGCGGACGGGUUAGUCAUGUCUGGGAAACUGCCCGAUGGAGGGGGAUAACUACUGGAAACGGUAGCUAAUACCGCAUACCAUCGGAUGUGCCCAGAUGGGAUUAGCUAGUAGGUGGGGUAACGGCUCACCUAGGCGACGAUCCCGAGCUGGUCUGAGAGGAUGACCAGCCACACUGGAACUGAGACACGGGCCAGACUGCGACGAGAGGCAGCAGUGGGGAAUAUUGCACAAUGGGCGCAAGCCGGAUGCAGCCAUGCCGAGGGUAUGAAGAAGGCCUGCGGGUUGUAAAGUACUUUCAGCGGGGAGGCGUUACCCGCAGAAGAAGCACCGGCUAACUCCGUGCCAGCAGCCGCGGUAAUAC